rnacentral:rRNA from 1 species
GUGAGGAAUAUUGGUCAAUGGGCGGAAGCCUGAACCAGCCAAGUAGCGUGCAGGAUGACGGCCCUAUGGGUUGUAAACUGCUUUUAUGCGGGGAUAACUGGCACUACGUGUAGUGCCUUGCAGGUACCGCAUGAAUAAGGACCGGCUAAUUCCGUGCCAGCAGCCGCGGUAAUACGGAAGGUCCGGGCGUUAUCCGGAUUUAUUGGGUUUAAAGGGAGCGUAGGCCGCCUGGUAAGCGUGUUGUGAAAUGUACCGGCUCAACCGGUGACGUGCAGCGCGAACUGCCUGGCUUGAGUGUGCGGUAGGCAGGCGGAAUUCAUGGUGUAGCGGUGAAAUGCUUAGAUAUCAUGAGGAACCCCGAUUGCGAAGGCAGCUUGCUGCAGCAUUACUGACGCUGAUGCUCGAAGGUGUGGGUAUCGAACAGGAUUAGAAACCCUAGUAGUCC